rnacentral:sRNA from 1 species
CUUUGUAUCCUUUCUU